CAGUUCAAUUCUGAGUGCUCUUGGUAAAUAGAGUAUAAUAAUAUUACUUUACACAAAUAUAAAUUUGUGUUAUAUCAAAUGAUAUUGUAAAAAAUAUUUAUAAAUAAUGUGAUUCUAAAUAUAAACAAUAAAUUUAGUUAAGGGUUCUUUAACUUAAGUGGUAAAGUGCGUUUUUGAUAAGGAUGUUAUUCAAGUUCAAAUCUUGGAAGAAUCAUAAAUAAAAAAAAAAGAGAAUUGGCUGAGCGGUUUAAAGCGGUAAGCUUGAGACUUAUUUAAUUUAAUAGAUUACAUCCGUUCGAAUCGGAUAUUCUCUGUAGAAGUUAACUUCUUUUUCAUACGGGUUAGAGCCAGGUUGGUUAGGCGUCUCAUUUGGGUUGAGGAAUUGUUAUGUUCGAAUCAUAAUAACCCGACAUGUAUAUAAUGGCUAUAAGUUAACGGUAGACUAUUCGUCUUCCAAACGAAGUGUGUCGAUUCGAAUUCGACUAGCCGUAUAAAUAUGUAUUAUUAAAUAAUAUAAUAUAUGUUAAAUAUAACAUAUAUGAAUAAGAUUUGGAAUAUGAUAUAUUUUGAUUAAUAAGAUAAUCAAAUCAAGUAUAGAAAGGAAUUAUUAUGGAAAUAAAAUAGCUAUAUAUUAAAGAUUAAAAUAGGAUGGCUGCCGUCUAGGCAUCGAUUUUUCAGGUUUUUUAAAAAACAAAAUUCUAGGACAAAUCCAAUAAUAAACGAAGUGAAUUGAAGUAUCUUAGUAACUUCAGGAAAAUAAAUCAAACGAGAUUUUGUAUUUAACAAAAUAAGCUUACAAGUAAAAUGGAUUAAAUAUCUGUUUGAAUAAAGGGGAACCUUCCUCUAAAGCUAAAUAUGAUAUAUAAGCAAUAGCGAUAAGUACCGUGAGGGAAAAAUGGAAAUAGUAGUUUUAUAAGCAGCUCGAAUUAAAUUUAAAUGAAUAAUAAGAGCGUACCUUUUGCAUAAUGGGUCAGCAAGUUAAUAUUAGAUGCAAGCAUAUAAAUUAUAUGCCUAGAUAAACCAAUUAUGAAUUAAUGAAAAGUAUCUAAAAUUAGACCCGAAGGCUAAUGAUCUUACCAUGAUCAGGGUGAUAAAAGCCCGAACGGGUUAUCGUUGUAUAGAUAUCCGAUGAAUUGUGGUAAGUUAGUGAAAGACAAAUCUGAUUAGUAUAGCUGGUUUUCCGCGAAACCUAUUUAAGUAGGUAAUUCAAAUAACAUUCUAGCAGGUACAGAAUUGUGAUCUCGAACAAUAUCAAAAUGAAUUUUUUGUAUACAUCGGGGGAUCGUGAAGAUUUUAUCGGAGAGUAUUUGCACUCGGAAGGGCUAGAAUGAAUUUUGAAUAAUCGGACAUAGUACGAUAAGGUUGUAUGUCUAAAGGGAAACAGCCCUAAACAAGAAUUAAUAAGGUUCCAAAAUUAUUGUUGAGUGAAAUAAAGGAUGUUUUUAUCGAAUACAUACAGGAAAUAGGCUUAGAAGCGGCCAUUUUUUGAAGAUCUCGUAACAGAGCACUGGUUUGAUAAAAAUUAAAGUUUUUAUAGGUAAAAAUACUUAAAAUUUAACGGAUCUAAAUAAUAUACCGAUAUCUUGUCUAUAUAUAUAAUACAGAUAUUUAUAUAUGGGGUAGCGGAACAUUGGGAAUAUAUAUGAUUUAUUUUUUUGAAAAAAUAAAGAAAACCAAGAUUAUUAUUCACUUAUACUGCAAGUAAUAAGUGAAUAAUAAUAUAACUGAAUAAUAAUAUAACCCAAGAGAUAAUGCUGACAUGAGUAACGAAAAAGAUAAUGUUCCUAAUUAAUAUACUACCGUAUAAUAUUCGGUUCAUUACUCGCCUUAAGCUUAUGGUAUUUUAGAACGGCCUCUAAAUUAAUUAACCGAAAGGUUAGAAUCUUAACACCUGAAUAAAAGGGUGGCCAAUUUGUUUCUUUAUAAAACAAGUUUCCCUUGGAGUGGGAUAUUAUAAUGGUAAGAUGAUGAGAACAGAUAGCGGAAAAAGUAAACAUUUAUUAAAUGUUUUUUUCUAUUUUAUGGUUUGCAAAAACUUUUUAUUAUAAAGUAAUAAAAGUUCUGGAAAGCAAAACUAUGUUAAUAUUGUUAAAAAAAAAAACGAUAUAAAUAAUAUUUAUAUUAUUUAAUAACCCAUAUUAACCGUACCUAGAAACUACCACAAGUAAGCAAGUAGAGUAUACAAAGGCGAAUGAGUGAACAAUCAUUAAGGAACUCGGCAAAAUGACUACCGUAACUUCGGGAUAAGGAGAGCCGUUCUUUCUGUUUAAAAGCAGAUGAAGGAUAGGAAGCAUAUAAUAGUGUUGUACGACUGUUUAAUUAAAACAAAGCACUCUGCAAAGAUAAAAUCAAAGUAUUGAGUGUGAUUUCUGCCCAAUGUCAGUAGGUUAACAGAUUUUCUUAAUUGACUAAAUCAAGUUAAGUUUUGAAGGAUACCCUGAUUAAUGGCGGCCUUACCUAUGAGGGUCCUAAGGUAGCGGAAUACCCUGGCCGUUAAAUGCGGUCUUGCAUGAAUGAGUUAACGAUACAACAGCUGUCUCAAUGAUUGGCUCAGUGAAAUUGGAAUAACUGUGCAGAUACAGUUUACCUCUAGAUAGACGAGAAGACCCUAUGCAGCUUUACUGUUACUAGUUACGUUUAUAAUAUGAUGAUUAUUAGCGUAUAAGGUAGUUAAGUUGUUACUUUAACAACAUCAUCUCCACAUACAUCACCAUCUACAAUUAAUAUAAUUGAAACACCUUUAUUUGGUCUAUUAUAUUCAUAUAUGACUAGAAGACAGUUUAUGCGGGGCACAGAUCCCAGAAAAAGUAACUGGGUAUAUCCAAAGUUAGAUUUGUAAAUUUGUAAUUUUUAUAUUACGACAGGAUAUAAAUAUAUCAAAAUAGUUUUGAUAUAUUUAUAUCUUUUUAGAUUGAUAUAACUAUAUUAAUAGUUAUCCAUAUAUUAUAUGUCUUAAAGACGGAAUAAUUUUUAUUUUAAGUAAGAUUUUAACUAUAUGGUGAAUAGUUGCAACUAAAACAUUAAUUUAUUUUUUACUUAGUAAAACAAAUAGUAAAUUAAAUAAAUAAUGUUUAUUUGUUUGUAUAUUUAAUGUAUUAUGUUUUUUAAAUGUAGGAUCUAGAGCCUUACGUAGUAGCUGAAGCUAAAUUUAUAUUAUAUAAUGAGAUUUAUUGUAUGAUAUAGAUAUAGUGCUUUAGUGAUUAUAUAAGGCGAUUUAGUUCCACAUAAAAAAAAACGACCAAUAAAUAUAUGAUAUUUAAUUUUGCUCUAAAAGUUUAAUGGCUUAAUCUUGCUUUACUGUUUGACCUACACGUCUA
rnacentral:rRNA from 1 species